rnacentral:rRNA from 1 species
CUAUCCCUACGGGACGCAGCAGUAGGGAAUCUUCCACAAUGGGCGAAAGCCUGAUGGAGCAACGCCGCGUGGGUGAAGAAGGUCUUCGGAUCGUAAAACCCUGUUGUUAGAGAAGAAAGUGCGUGAGAGUAACUGUUCACAUUUCGACGGUAUCUAACCAGCAAGCCACGGCUAACUACGUGCCAGCAGCCGCGGUAAUACGUAGGUGGCAAGCGUUCUCCGGAUUUAUUGGGCGUAACGGGAC